AAUGUCUUCACGAUUACUGGCCCCUUGUCCAAAUACCCACGCUUGCAGUCUUGGCCAUUUGAGAGCGCGUGUGCGCGACAUGAAGUAAGUGUGCAAGUCUGUCCCAGGUCUUAAAAACACCAGAGCGCAGUGCCCUUAAA